UGACGAACAAGAGAAGCAGGCAGAAGAUGCAUUACCUGCAGCCAUGCAGGACCUCCUUUGCAUGCAGAACGACUUUCCUCCACGAGCUCACUGCUUGGUCAGAUGGUACGGCCUGCAAGAGUUUGUUGUCAUCACCCCGGCGACAAAUAGUGAGGCCAUCAUCAGCGAGUCCAAGUGCAACCUGCUCCUGAGCUCCGUCUCCAUAUCGCUGUCAAACAGCGGCUGGUGAGCGCUGCCUACAGCACACAC